rnacentral:rRNA from 1 species
GGAUGCGAUCAUACCAGCACUAAUGCACCGGAUCCCAUCAGAACUCCGAAGUCAAGCGUGCUCGGGCGAGAGUAGUACUAGGAUGGGUGACCCCCUGGGAAGUCCUCGUGUUGCAUCCCCCA